rnacentral:lncRNA from 1 species
CCGGCACCAAGCAUGAACCAUACUACAAAAACCAAACCCUUUUCAUAAAUUGGAAAUUACAGUCAAAAUUUCCAUUUCACACCACCUUUUUAAUUUCCUGCAUGCAUGCAUUCUAUAAAUAGGCCGGAAAAAACCACAUCUUCUCCAACAUCAACAAAAAUCAUCACCAAACUCUCAUCUUCCAAAUCUUCAAAGUAAAAUUCAAGAUUUUGCAAAAUUAAAUUUCCUUAGUAAUGGCGAAAGGUGCCACAUUUUUCUCGAGUCUUCUUCUUCUUGUUCUUCUCAGUUGUAUCGUUUUUGGUAACGAAGCGCGUUUGCUGAAACCUCAGAGCUCCAUAGAAAUGGAGAUCAUGAAAGUUUUGGAUGAUUUGUACGUGGAGGCUGUGAAGACCGGCGGGCCGAGUAGCGGCGGCGAAGGCCAUGCCGCACCCAAUAGAGCUUUAACUCUUGAGGGAAUCAAGAAAUCUGGUCCAAGCCCUGGAGCAGGAAAUUAAACUACUUCGCUGCCUCUAAUUUUCUUUGGGAGGCUUAAUUACUUCUCGAAAAUUAUUAUUUUUUGUUUACUUAAUUUUCAUAUUCUAUUAAUUAUUGUAAUGUUAAUUGAUUUGUUAUUCUUUCGUUGGAGUGGUGAGAGUAAUAAUAGGGCCAGUGUGUAAUAUUGUAUUUGUUUUCUCGUGAACAAAGAAAUUAUUCGUUCGGAUAUAUAUAUACAUUCUUUUCUAAAUUAAUGUUUAAAUUUUUGCGUUGUAAUUAAGUUCCUUCUAAACUAUUAAUAUGUCAC